AUCUGUGUUUGUACAUUCCAGUGUGUGUAUCUGUGUGUCAGUGUGUACCUGUGUGUGUGUGUGUGUGUGUGUUUAUCUGACACACAGAUACACACACUGGCACAUAGUGGCACACAGAUACACACACCUUGAUCUGUGUAUUUGUG